ACUGCACUGAUGAUUAUUAGUGUUUGACACCGACACACACACAUGCACACACACUUAAAACAAUGAUGUCUCUUAUUCUAAUGCUGUGGACACUCGGUCUGCUCGCUCAAGUGUCUCAUCAAGAGGUUCAGUCUCCUGAGUCUCUGAUUGUUAAAGCAGGAGAGUCCGUCUCUAUGAGCUGCACUGGGACCAGUGGAGUUGAUGAUGACAUGAGCUGGUAUCUGCAGAAAACUGGAGAAGCUCCUAAACUCCUGAUCUAUAAAGCAAGUCGACUUGAAUCUGGAGUCCCAAAUCGGUUCAGUGGAAGUUAUUCUGGACUUCAUUUCACACUGAAUCUACGUGGAGUCCAGCCUGAGGAUGCAGGAGUUUAUUACUGUAUGGGGGCUUAUAGUGGCAGGUCCACACAGUGAAACAACAUCAUACAAAAACCUCCCUCAGUCAGACACUACAGAGAACAUGAGAGUAAUUUCAGGCUAGUCGCCCUGUACAGCAGCUGAUCAACAGUUAAAGCAGUAAUGAAGAUUUUCUUUUCAGUUAUUCAAUAAUUUGUUCACUUUAAUUAAUUAGCAGAAAUUAUUAUGUGAAAUUUUGACCUUAGCAUCAAUGUGAACAGAAGCUUGUUUUAUAUUUAAAGACUGGAAUUAUAAACUUUAUUAUGUGCAGCAUGAAAUUCAUCACAUUCUGACAUCACAUUAUAUGAACGUGAACUCACGCCAUCAAAACAUACUGAAAUUAUUCUCUUUAAGUGAUAUUUUCAGUAUAAAAAUAAAAUGUUAGUAUUCAUGUUACUCAUAUCCACAAGCUUUGUUUAAAAUUGUAUCCUAUAAAAGUGAUUAUCAAACAUAAAAAAGAGAUAUUUUACAGAUAUUUAAAAAUGUAUUUAAAGUUGCUGGUAUACAUGACAACAUUAGAAUGUCUUUAAAUACCAAGACAUGUUCUUGUAUCAGUUGGUCCACAUGAGUGUCAAAGAAAUAUAUCCAAAUUUCCUCGAUUCAACACUAACCACAAUAUAAAACAGAUCAGAGGGACAUUAUAGGUUGAUAAAGAUGUUGUCCAAGCCUUAAAUAUAACAUAUUUCUUAUUCCAAAAUCAAAUUAAUUGCCAACAAGGACAAACCAAGACCUAAAUGGCAAAAUUU